rnacentral:rRNA from 1 species
AUGUCGCGCCGCCGCGUUGCGCCGCUCCUGGUGCGCGGCCUCGGAUGCCACCAUGUCGGCCGCUAUCAUGGUGCAGUACAUCGUGUUGCCACCUCCGUGAUCGAGGUAGCACACGCAUUCGCUGGCUAUUGGGAGGGCGCGUCCUCCUUCACGGUAACCGAGCGCCACGGCCACCUGGUCAACCGACUGGGCGGUGAUGGUGGCGCCCUUACCUUGCCACGCCAGAGACGGUUCCACACUGGCGCUGGUCAGGCGAGGCGUUCGUCCUGGCAGCACGGCGACGAGGACGACUCCUCCUUGUCACGGCGGUAG